CCGUUGACGGAUCCCACGCCGUAUCUCCAGUCCUUCACCUCGUUGUACCAGGACUGGAUGGCGUCGUUCCAUGUGUUCUUGGAGCUGGCCAUGUACAGGUUCUCUCCACAGCCACUAGCUGUCAUGAGAAGAGAGAGAGCCUCCACUUCCUCCGUCAGAGUGCCGGGUACCUGAAGAGCAGCCAGGAGGCUGAGAGCACACAGGAAGACGAGGGUGUUCAUGGUGGUGGUUCAGUCCAAGACUGUCGACUCCACUCCUGUCUUAUAGGCUUAUAUACACGAGGCCUGGGCAGCAGAGACACAUGUCAGCUGAGGUCAAGUUUUUAAAUAAGUACAUUAAAAAAACAAAAACAAACCUGCGCAGGUGUAUGUUUACACUGUACGUUGUGGAUACAGGGUGGGGAUACAGCGUUUUCAGCAUGUGGAAAAUGGUUCAGUUCAUGAGGGCAAGGCUAAUGGUCCAGAGGAGGACACGAAAUCCAAGAUAACCCUUUAACUAACACGAGGAUCAUCAAAUGUUUUAUCUUUGCUACUCGUUAUAAAUUGGAGGAAAAAAAUUUGAAUUAUUAAUAAUAAUUAAUUAUAAAAAAUAAUGGAAUGUGAAGUACUGUAAAAUAAAAUCAGAACAGACACUGAACACAUCUGUGUGGAAAUAUCUGCAGGUCAAAGGGUCAAGACACAAACGUUUGAUGCUCCUGUUACAGCAAAUACACAUUAUUAAAAUAAUCUUUGUUAAAACCUAAAUAGAAACUAUCAAAUUCAACUUCUAGGGAAUUUGAAUUAUUUUGCCAAGUAUGCAACUGAAAAUAAUCCUAAAAUAUGGCGACCAUAAAUAAACAUAAGAACAUUUCUUUGUUCCACCAGGGGAGCUCUUAAUACCUGCAGCCAGGCGAAGCUUGUUUGACAAUCUUUUCUACAUCAUUGACUCAGACAACCGAGACGUAGAUGUUUGCUAAGACAUUAGCCUUUACAACAAAUCAAAUAUUGGGUUGACGUGUUGCAGCUUACAGGCUGAAGAAUAAGCCUUCAAAAAAAAAAA